GAGGACACCUAAUGCCCGUCAGCUGUGCCCCGGGCCAAGCCUGCGGCCUGAAGACACGGUCGGCCCUGGGAAGUGAGGCGGCUUGUCGCCCUCUGCGGGCCAACUGGGAGAAUGCAGGCCACGCCCGCUCCCACUGCAGAGCGGCCGGGGUCUUUCCUGCCCGUCGUGCUCGAGGCACAACACUCUGGAAAUAAACGGGUCGAGGCCACUAUCCCAGGACUUGUGCAACCUAACUACAGGGUAAUUAGGAACCACAAAAGGAAUGUAGGAACAGACUUUACAGCUCAAACCAAAAGACACUCCAAGUUGUCUAAAGGCAAAUUUAAAAUAUAAAACUUUUUAAAAUUAUAGAAGAAAAUCGACAUGGCUGUGGCUUUUGUCAUGUAGACCACAAACUUUUAUUUCCAACACAUCACAUGAAAAUCCACAGAAAAGGGGAAAAAAUAGCAAACUUUAUAAAACUGAAAAUUGUACCGGUGAAAUCACUUAUCCAGAAAGUCAAAACCCAGGCCAGAAAUGAAGAAAAAAUAUUUGCAAACUACACAUGUGAUAAAGAACUUGUACCUGCAUAAUAUAAAGUGCUAUGAAACAAGCAGCUACGUUAAAAAAAUGGGUACCAGGAGCUUAUUUAACUAAUAUGCAGAGUACAUCAUGUAAAAUGCUGGGCUGGAUGAAACUCAAGCCGGAAUCAAGAUUGCCAGAAUAAAAUUAUCUCAUACGCAGAUGACACCACCCUUAUGGCAGAAAGCAGAGAGAAACUAAAGAGCCUCUUGAUGAAGGUAGAAGAGGAGAGUGAAAAUGCUGGCUUAAAACUCAGCAUUCAGAAAGCUAAGAUCAUGUCAUCCGAUCCCAUCACUUCAUGGCAAACAGAUGGGGAAACAGUGGAAACAUUGACAGACUUGUUUUCUUGGGCUCCAAAAUCACUGUGGAUGGUGACUGCAGCCAUGAAAUUAAAAGAUGCUUGUUCCUUGGAAGAAAAGCUAUGACCAACCUAGACAAUAUAUUAAAAAGCAGAGACAUCUGCUGACAAAGGUUGGUAUAGUCAAAGCUGUGGUUUUUCCAGUAGUCAUGUAUGGAUGUGAGAGUUGGACCACAAGGAAGCCUGAAUUGAUGCUUUCAAACUGUGGUGCUGAAGAAGACUCUUGAGUCCCGUGGACUGCAAGGAGAUCCAAUCAGUCCAUCCUAAAGGAGAUCAGUCCUGGCUGUUCAUUGGAAAGACUGAUGCUGAAGCUGAAGCUCCAAUAUUUAGGCCACCUGAUUCGAAUGAAGAACUGACUCCCUGGAAAAGAUCCUGAUGCUGGGGAAGAUUGAAGGCAGGAGGAGAAGGGGACGACAGAGGAUGAGAUGGUUGGAUGGCAUCACUGAUCAAUGGACAUGAGUUUGAGCAAACUCUGGGAGAUGGUGAUGGACAGGGAGGCCUGGCGUGAUGCAGUCCAGGGGGUUGCAGAGUUGGACACGACUGAGCGACUGAACAGCAGCCAGUGCCUCCACCAUCGCCUCCUCUGGGCCACCUUGCUCUAGAUGUGCCCAGGCGGCUUCGGGAGCCCAGUGUCUCCCGGCUCUCACCUCACCCCAGCGCUGCCCAGGGCUGUUUGUCAGAAACUGUGCUGGUUACAAAGAGAAGAUGCUCCUUCCCCAUGGCCCUCCCAGGGCAAGGGGCACUUUUAAACAGGCACUUCCAGGAUGGGAAGCCACCUGGGCAGAAGCCUUCCAGAACCCGACUCACCUGGGCAGCCCAUGGAGUUUAUCUGGCCUCCCCCAACCAGGCCUCCACAUCUCCCCUCCUCUCCCUCACUCCUGGGCUCCUCUCCUGGGGAGAGUUCUUUUCUUUUUUUAAGAUUCAUUCAUUUAUUUUACUGCUGGCUGUGGUAGGACUUUAUCACUGCACACGAGCCUCCUCUCUGGUUGUCGGGAGUGGGGGCUCCUCCUCGCCAAGGUCAGCGGGCUUCGCAUCGUGGCGCCUUCUCUUGCCUGGAGCUCAGGCUCCAGAUGGGCCAACUUCAGUAGUUGCAGUGCGUGGGUCCCAGCGCACAGGCUCAGCUGCUGGGGCGCAGCCUCACUCUCUCUGAGGCAUGUGGGAUCAUCCUGGCCAGAGAUCACCAGAGAUCGAACUGGUGUCCCAUGCUUUGCAAGGUGGAUUAAUAACCACUGGACCACCAGGAACGCAUGACAGGUCUUCUUGAAAUUGUUUCCCACUUAUAGGCCAGUUAACAUACUUAGCAGACAGACCAGAGCUGCAGCCCCACGUCCAUCCUGACCUUCAGGACACAGCUGGUCCGUGGACUUGGGACAGCAGGGCCCGUUUUCUGUAAAUGAGCCCCUGGUGGGCAAGGAUCGGCUGACCCGGGCAGCGUGACCCAGCUGGCCAGCCCUUCCCAGGUGUGCCUGCUUGAGGCCCUGGUUCCAGGCAGGAGGGCGCCUGCAGCGGUACCAGACAUCACCUUCUCUGCCAUCAGAGGCCGCAGGGCUGGGCUGGCGAGAGGGAAUGAGGGGCCGUGGCGUGUCAGGGGGUCGCCUGCACGGGGCUCUGCUGGGCCUUCUGCAGGAGUUGCUAGGCUGCCACUUGAUAAGGAAGAGGUUGUGUUGCUGGUACCUGCUGUUGGAAGUCUUCCCAGGCAGAGGUGAGGAAGCAAAAACACAGGCAGUGGGAGCAGGGCAGAGGAGUAACUCAGGCGAUACCCUGUUUUUCCCUGCUGGUGCCAGUUUCUCAAGACUACAUGACCACCCGACCAUGAGACCCCUUUGACUAUGUGACCACAGGACUCCAGCUGUGGGCUAAGGAUAAACCCCUCUGGGGCACAAUUUCCCAUCGAUACGGUAUAAGAAGGGUUGGCUGUAACAAGAGAGCACUGGUUUCUCUCUAAAACCACUUUCUUUCUUCCUAUAAUAAAUAUUUCUCUGCCUGACUGUCCGGCUCACUCUCCUUUUCUCCAUGCUCGCCUUACAGCCAGGACUCAGAGUAGCAAAGUCAGGCCUCAGGAAGAGAAUGGAACCUCAGUGAGAAGCGAGCCGGAACUCACUGAGGUUGUAGCCAUGCCCCGGUGUGGAGUGGAGCCUGGCCUCAGUGAGGUCCAGAGCCGGGACUCAGAGUAGUCAAGUCAAUCCUCAGGAAGAGGGAGAAGAGAACCUCAGUGAGAAGCCAGCUGGGCUCAGUGAGAACCCUAGCCAGACCCCAGUGUGGGUGGAGCCAGUCCUCAGUCAGAGAGAAGCUGGGUCUCACUGAGGAGCAGAGCCAGACCUCAGAGAGGACCCGAGUCCAGUCUCUAUGUGGAGUGUAGCUGGGCCUCAGUGUAGAAUGGAGUCUUGCCUCAGAGAACCAAAUUCCGUCCUCAAGGAGGACCAGGCUGGGCCUGAGUGAAGAGUGGAGGUGAACCUUCACUCUCAGUGAAGGAACGUUGGGCUUCAGUGAGGAGGGUAGCUGAACCACAGUGAGGCCCAGAGCAGGACUCAGUGCUGGAGCUGAAUCUCAGUGAGGCCCAGAGCAGGACUCAGUGCUGGAGCCAGGCCCCGGUGCGGAGCAGAGCCAGGCCUACCUGAGGAGUGGCGCUGGCCCCAAGUGAGGAGGGGAGCCUGGCCUCAGAGUAGCAGUCAGGCCUCACGGAGGUGAACCAAACCUCGGUUAGAAGCAAGCCAAAUCUCUGUGAGGACCAGAGCCGGGGCUCACUAAGGACCUGAGCGUGGACUGGAGCUGUGCUUCACUGAGGACGAUACCGUGGCCUCACCGAGAACCACAGCCAGGCCCAUUGCAGGGCGGAGCUGUGCGGCAGUGCUGAGCGGAGCCAGGCCUCUGCAGGAGGAGCUGGGUCUCACGGAGCGGAGCCGAGCGGAGCCUGGCCUCAGUGCGGACCCUACCCGGGCCCCAGAGCACAUCACAGGACCGGAGUGGAACCUCAGUGAGGACGGGAGACAGGCCUCAGUGGGGACCAGAGCCGGUCCUCAUUGUGGACUGGAGCUGGUUCUCAGUGGAGAGCAGAGCCAGGCCUCAGAGGAGCAAAGUCAUGCCUCAAGGAGGAGCACAGCUGAACUGCAGUGAGAAGACAGCCUGGCCUCUGUGAGGACCGUAACCAGGCCCGUGUGGAGCAGAGCUGUCCUCACCGAGGAGGGAGCCGGACCUCAGGGAGCAAGGGAGGCACACGUGAUUGCGCAGUGGGGCCAGGCCUCACCGAGGACCACAGCCAGGCCCAGUGAGGGGCAGAGCCUUGCCGGGUCUCAGUGCGGAGAGGACCUGGCGUGCUGAGCUGAGCCGAGACUCAGGCAGGGGUGCAGCUGGACUUCAGUGAGGAGCAGAGCCAGCUCUCAGCGUUGAGGUCCGGAGCCAGGCCUCUGUGUGGACCAGAGCCGGGACGUAUGAGUACCGGAACCGGGACUCAGAGUAGCAAAGUCAGGCCUGAGAGAGGUGGAGAAUGGAGCGUCAGUGAGAAGUGAGCUGGGCCUCACUGAUCACCAGAUCUGGACCCCCGUGUGGCAUGGAACCAGGCCUCAGUGCAGGGCCCCACUGAAGAC
ensembl:lncRNA